AGAGACCCCUUUUAGGUCAGCAUGUAUCAUCACAGGAGCUGAAGCAGAAGUCACUGAGUUGGCUAAAGCAAUUCAGAAAAAUCGGAACAUGAUGACUGGAUCAAACUUCUUGGGGGUCCUGGAUAUGGUGAAACAUUUUGAAGACACUGACCACGCUCGUUUAUACCCAGUAGUUAUUGUAUGGGUACAGCUGAACAUGACAAAGCAGUCCAUGGAAAGCCAGAAGACAGACGAUUUAGCAGCCUUCAGGAGUCUGGCCUCUGAAGUCAUACAGGGAAAUGUUCUG